GCCAGAGUGGUAUAGUGGACUGAGUGUUGGACUAUCACUCUGGAGACCAGAGUUCAAAUCCUGACUCUGCCA